rnacentral:lncRNA from 1 species
CCCAAACUCCAAUUAGCAUAGCUUAUUCAUUGCUGCAGACCUAGUGCUGCCCAGGGGUGACAAGGGUAGCAGCACCAACUGAGACAGAGGGUCACAGCAAACAUUUUUGUUUUCCUCUCACUUCUUCCUUCAACCACCUGGGAAACUUGGGACUGACAGAAGUCCCAUCAGCAUUGGCAAAUUGUGCAGAUGGGGGACGCGAGAUUCAUCUCAGCUGAUGAAUAGCACUUAAAGCUUACAUACUAAAAUACACUGAAAUACACUGUCUUAAUAACGGCUUUCCAGCAAUCAGAUGACUGAAAGCAGUGUUUAAAAAGCAAGGAUUAAAACUGGAGAAUGCUGUCUGUUCUGCUGUCAAAGUAGGUCCAUAACCCUGUUUUUGCUUGUGUUGCUCAGGGAUUGUGCAAUGCAUUUCAAAUAAACAAACAAACAAAACAGGAAAGGAAACGAGUUCACUUUGGCAGGAUAAUAAAUACCACGAACAGGGAAGUUGCUUGGCACCUCUACCCUAGAAGCAUUCUACAAGUUACACGGGCACUGCAAGGGAAAGCUGCAAAAGAUUGUUUAACCUAGAGGAUUACAGAGGAUUGCCUGACUGUUCUCUGUUUGGCAAUCGGAAUGCUGAAUACCCUCCUGUGAUCAGCAAACCUUUCAUCCACCAAGCAUUUGCCAUUGCUGCUGACAAACAAAGACUAAACUGCAGAGAAGGGAGCCUUUGACAAGGUCCAGGAAACAAUAGCAUAUUCGGUCUUGUGUAGUUUGUGCUGGAACAUUUCUUUUUUUUUUCAAACCAUUUCCGUCGUGGCUUUCCGGACAGUGAGGACAUUUAAUGUACUUGAAGUCAAAGUCGUUGCCAAACCUGCUUAUUAGCUGAGUCUGCACACUGCGCAAAGCUGCUGCUGAUGCUGGUGUAGUCAGCUUCAGGUGCAUGAGGAAACAUGUUGCUCUAGGACAGCUGGAACAACUCUGUCUAAAUAAACUGAUAUUCUUCCCACACACAACUCUUGUAGAAAGGGACUUGGAAGAGUGUGACAGUGGUAAAAGUUAUUCCUUCCUCCUUUCCCCCACCAUCUCUGAUGGACAAUGUGGUUUGUCCUAAGACUGGAACAGCAAAAGGGAAUUGCAGGAGGGACUG